AAGACUAUAGACCUGCGGAGUACCUGCGGAAGGAUCAUUAUUGAAUAAACUUGAUGUAGUUGAGCUGACUCUCUCGGGAGUAUGUGCUCGCUCGUCAUCUUUAUCUUUCCACCUGUGCACUUUUUGUAGAUUUGGAUAUAACUGUCCGAGGCAACUCGGUUGGGAGGAAUGCUGUCUCUGAUGGCUUUCCUUGUAUGUCCAAGUCUAUGUUUUCAUAUACUCCAAGUAUGUAACAGAAUG
rnacentral:misc_RNA from 1 species